AUUGAACGCUGGCGGCAGGCCUAACACAUGCAAGUCGAGCGGAGCGGCGGCUGGGUGAGUAAUGCCUAGGAAUCUGCCUGGUAGCGGGGGAUAACGUCCGGUCACGGGCGCUAAUACCGCUUACUAUCAGAUGAGCCUAGGCCGGAUUAGCUAGUUGGUGGGGUAAAGGCCUACCAAGGCGACGAUCCGUAACUGGUCGGAGUGGAUGAUCAUUGACACUGGGACUGAGACACGGUCCAGACUCCUACGGGAGGCAGCAGUGGGGAAUAUUGGACAAUGGGCGAAAGCCUGAUCCAGCCAUGCCGCGUGUGUGAAGAAGGUCUUAGGAUUUUAAAGCACUUUAAGUUGGGAGGCGUUACCCACAGAAUAAGCACCGGCGAACUUCGUGCCAGCAGCCGCGGUAAUAC
rnacentral:rRNA from 1 species